rnacentral:rRNA from 1 species
AUACGUAGGGGGCGAGCGUUGUCCGGAAUGACUGGGCGUAAAGGGCGUGUAGGCGGCGGUGUAAGUCUGGAGUGAAAGUCCCGCAUUCAAUGUGGGAAUUGCUUUGGAUACUGCAGUGCUAGAGUGCGGAAGAGGUAAGUGGAAUUCCCAGUGUAGCGGUGAAAUGCGUAGAGAUUGGGAGGAACACCAGUGGCGAAGGCGGGUAACUGGACUGCAACUGACGCUGAGGCGCGAAAGUGUGGGGAGCAAACAGGAUUAGAUACCCUGGUAGUCCACACUGUAAACGAUGAAUGCUAGGUGUAAGAGGUAUCGACCCCUUUUGUGCCGGAGUCAACACAAUAAGCAUUCCGCCUGGGGAGUACGGCCGCAAGGUUGAAACUCAAAGGAAUUGACGGGG